GGGCGUGUAGCUCAGUGGUAGAGCGCUCGCUUUGCAAGCGAGAGGUCCUGGAUUCGAUCCCCAGCUCGUCCA
rnacentral:tRNA from 1 species